rnacentral:rRNA from 1 species
AGCGAACGCUGGCGGCAGGCCUAACACAUGCGAGUCGAACGAACCUUUCGGGGUUAGUGGCGGAGGGGUGAGGAACACGGGGGAACGUGCCUUUAGGUACGGUAUAACUCAGGGUAACUUGUGCUAAUACCGAAUGUGCUCUUCGGGGGUAAGAUCUACUGCCGUUAGGGGGGCGGGGGUCUGUUUAGCUAGUUGGGUGUGGGAAUGGCUCACCAAGGCGACGAGCCGUAGCUGGGCUGAGCGGAGGAUCAGCCACAUCGGGACUGAGACACGGACCCAACUCCUACGCGAGGGAGAGGAGGGGAAUAUAGCGCAAUGGAGGAUGGCCUGACGCAGCCAUGCCGGGUGAGUGAUGCAGGUGUUAGGAAUGUGAAAUUGUUUCACCCGGAGCGAUAGUGACGGUACCCGGAGAAGAAGCCCCGGCUAACUUCGUG